rnacentral:lncRNA from 1 species
UCCGUCUCUAACAUAGGAGAUAGUCUUGUUUAUUGACACCAGUACUAUAAAUAACGAGUGAUCUCUGCAUAUUAAAAGGCAUCUCAAGGGAUGGAUGGUGUGAAGGACAGAAAAAUAUGUCUGUGGUACAGAUGGAGAAGUUGACAGAGAUUACUCGGGACAAGAAAAAAAUAAUGAAUUUUUUAAAUUUGCAUUCAAAGCCUAUGGAAUUCAACCAACGUGAAAUUCAAACCAACAGCCAGAACCUCAAAUCAACAACUAAAUUCAGCCAACAUAAAAUUCAUA